UACAGAGGGGGCGAGCGUUGUUCGGAAUUACUGGGCGUAAAGGGCGCGUAGGCGGCCCGCUAAGUCGAACGUGAAAUCCCCAGGCUCAACCUGGGAACUGCGUCCGAUACUGGCAGGCUUGAAUCCGGGAGAGGGAUGUGGAAUUCCAGGUGUAGCGGUGAAAUGCGUAGAUAUCUGGAGGAACACCGGUGGCGAAGGCGGCAUCCUGGACCGGUAUUGACGCUGAGGCGCGAAAGCUAGGGGAGCAAACAGG
rnacentral:rRNA from 1 species